GUAGAUAUAGUUUAACAAAAACACUAGACUGUGAAUCUAGUAAUAGAAGAAUAAAAUCUUCCUAUUUACC
rnacentral:tRNA from 1 species